GGAGGAGUCAGGAGAAGAAAUGGAGCAAGAGCCAUACCCUCCCCACACCCAAACUAAACAUGGAUCCAUCCUGAUCCAGCUUUCCCACUUCUGGGGAUAUAUCCAGAGGAGAUGAAAUCAGCUUACUAAACACAUACCUGCAUGCCCGUGUUUAUUGUGGCAAAUAUUCACAAUAGCCAGGAUAUGGACCAGCCUAGGUGCCCACGAACAGAUGGAUGGAUGAAGGCAUGGGGGCACAUGCCUAUCAUCCUAGAGGCUGAGGCAGGAGGAUCAUUGCAAGUUCAAAGCCAGCCUCAGCAACUUAAUGAGGACCUAAUUAACUCAGUGAGACCUUGUCUCUAAAUAAAAAAUAAAAAGGUCUGGGGAUGUGGCUCAGUGGUUAAACUCUCAUGAGUUCAAUUCUUGGUACCUCCUUCCCCCUGGGGGGAAAAAAAAAGAAAAUAUGAUACACACACACACACACACACACACACAAUACAAUAUUAUUCAGCCAAAGGGAAGAAUGAAAUCUUGUCAUUUUUAGCCAAAUAUAUAGAGAUUGGGAAGGGUAGGGGUGGAAGGCAUAAAAGGGAGGCUGGAUUUGAUUGGUGCAUCUGGAUACAUGUAUGGAAAUAGACACUGAACACCAUUAACGUGUACAAGUAAUAUGUGUUAAUUUUUUAAAAAAUACUGAAAUUCAGACAGGCUGGGUCUUUAGUUCCAUCACUGACUGCCUUUUCCCGGCCAGGUGACUGUGCAAGUCAUCUGGUCCUCUCUGUUAUUAUCUUUAAAGGGGGCAUAAUAAUUGAUGUGAUUAGUUAUCACACCGGAUCAGGGUGAAGAGUAAAUGGCCUAAUGAAAUGAGAGCUGGUGGGCAGUUACGAAGCUCUGUCUACUGAUGUGCUAAUUAGUGGACACCUUGGUCACUCACUGUGGGAGCUCAGGCCAGCCUCUUCGCCUCUCUGAAACUGGUUCCUCAUCAAUAAAGUGGAAUGAAAAUAAAAGUACCCACAUUGUUGGGCUGCUGGAAGGAGACUACAUGGAAGGCACUCAACGUGGAGAAAGUGCUCUGAGGAUAAAAGCCACAGGUCGAGGUGGGGUCCUCGUGCAGGGAAGGACUCGUGCCAGAAGAGGCUGGUUUCUUCCUCUUUAGCAAAAAAUGUCUUGGCUACCUCCAAGUCUGUGUGAGGAUGGGCCAGAAGAAGAGCCACCCUGCGCAGUCCAGCACCCGCUUGGAGCUGGGGAACGUGAGUGAGGCGGGAAGAACAUGUUUCCAGAUUUAGGAGGUAAAGGGAACCCUGUACUCCUGGGACCAGCUGCACCUGACAGAUGGCUGGUAGUGAGCAGAAUGAGCUGAGGGUGACAGCUUUCAUUCUUUGGGCUCAAGCCUACUGGGUUGCCUGUGUUCUGCAACCUGACAUCACCCUGCGGAACUCUCUGUACUGCAAGGGCUCCAUGUCAGGGUCUAAGGCCAGACAUCUUCUGUCUUCAGACUCUGCCCUGAGCCUCAGGGACAGCUUGCCUCA
rnacentral:lncRNA from 1 species